rnacentral:rRNA from 1 species
UGGCGAAUGAAGCGGGAACAGCUCAAAUUUAAAAUCUCUUCGGAGAAUUGUAGUUUGUAGAGGUGCUAUCGUUGGCAGCCUGGGUAUAAGUCCCUUGGAACAGGGCAUCAUAGAGGGUGAGAAUCCCGUCUUUGAUCCAGGUACUGUCACACUGUGAUGCACUCUCAAAGAGUCGGGUUGUUUGGGAAUGCAGCCCAAAGUGGGUGGUAUAUUCCAUCUAAAGCUAAAUACAGGCGAGAGACCGAUAGCGAACAAGUACCGUGAGGGAAAGAUGAAAAGAACUUUGAAAAGAGAGUUAAAUAGUACGUGAAAUUGCUAAAAGGGAAACGAUUGAAAUCAGUGUUGGUUGCAGGGAAUCAACUAGUCAGCAAUGGCUGGUGCACUUCUCUGUAGCCAGGUCAACAUCAGUUUUGGUUGAGGUAAAUUAGUGUAGGAAGGUAGCUCCUCCGGGAGUGUUAUAGCCUGCAUGACUGCCUUGACUGAGAUUGAGGACUGCAGCGCAUGCUUUCGGGCAGACGAACCAGGUGCUGCCGAUUGGCUGAGUAGAGACAGCGUGCUGACUCUGCGUAGUCCGUUGGUACCCGCUUGGCUAGUACUAAUGCGCUAAG